rnacentral:rRNA from 1 species
UACGUAGGGUGCAAGCGUUGUCCGGAAUUAUUGGGCGUAAAGAGCUCGUAGGCGGUCUGUCGCGUCUGCUGUGAAAACUCAGGGCUUAACCCUGAGCUUGCAGUGGGUACGGGCAGACUAGAGUGGCGGUAGGGGAGACUGGAAUUCCUGGUGUAGCGGUGAAAUGCGCAGAUAUCAGGAGGAACACCGGUGGGCGAAGGCGGGUCUCUGGGCCGUA